GUGGAGGGAGGUACAUACAGUGCAUUGUCUUGUAAUUGGAAUGAUGGUGACGUAAAAUCUCACCAGAGUAACAAUUGGAGGGCAAGUCUGGUGCCAGCAGCCGCGGUAAUUCCAGCUCCAAUAGCGUAUAUUAAACUUGUUGCAGUUAAAAAGCUCGUAGUUGAAUUUCUGCGUUGCCCGACUCGGCUACUUGCCUUGUCUGGUUUCGCUUUUGGGGUUUUCCCCUUUUUACUUUGAGAAAAUUAGAGUGUUUCAAGCAGACUUGUGUCUUGAAUACUUCAGCAUGGAAUAAUAAAGUAGGACUUUGGUUCUAUUUUGUUGGUUUGUGAACCUUAGUAAUGGUUAAUAGGAACGGUUGGGGGCAUUCGUAUUUAAA
rnacentral:rRNA from 1 species